GUUUUGGAUUUUCAAUGAAAAUACUGGUGAUAACACACCAAUAUUUUUAGCUGUUUUUACAUAGAAUCAAAGACUUUAUCUGCUUUUUAUGUUGCCCUGACUCCAAGGAGGCUGGGGUUGCACAAGAAGCUGGGAGAGGACGCAGGCAGGACAGCUGACACAGACUGACCUGGAUAUGGAUAUUCCAUACCAUAUGAUGUCAUGAAAUAAAAUCUGGGUGAACGUGGAUGGAGCUGGGG